rnacentral:rRNA from 1 species
AAGGAACCAAUUGCUUAAAAACAAUAAUAGGAAAAAUAUUUUAAUUUUUGAAGUAGAGUGAAUCGAAUAGAAGAGAAAGGCUUAGUAUAUUUUACUGUAAGGGAAAUUUGAAAUAAUUGAAAAUUAAACAUUUAAUAAGUAGUAAUUAAUUUAUGUACCUUGUGUAUUAUGGAUAUUUAAAUUUAUGUAUUUAGUUUACGUAUCUCGAAAGAGAAAUAGCUAGGAUAAUAAGAAGGUUUUUGUAGAAUAAAAAUUUUAAAUUUUAUUUCUAAGAGUGAAAUAUUAAUUGAGUUCUCUAAUAUCUAGUUUUUUGAGAAAUAAAUUUAAUUUAGCUUUUUUAUAUAAAUUGAUAGGAAGAAGUAAAGAUAGGAGGGACGAGCUUUUUAUUAUAUAGUUGUAUGGGGAGAAUAAGUUUGAGAAAUUAAACUAAGCUUAAAAUUAGCUAGGUUUAUAAAGUGUUAUAAUUAAUAUUGGAGUUGUAAAAUAUUUUUAUUUCCCCUAAAUUUAUAUCAAGAAUUAAUUUUAAAUAACACAGAGUUAGGUAUAAUAAAUAUAUUAGUAUAUAGUAGUGUGAAAUAAGGAUAUGUAGAAUAAGAAUAAGAUUUUAUAUUACUUAUGGUGGGUUUAAGGAAUUCGGCAAAUAAUUAUCUCUGCCUGUUUAACAAAAACAUGUCUAUAUGAGAGGUAUAUAAAGUCUAACCUGCCCAUUGAGAUUUGAAAGGCCGCGGUAUUAUGACCGUGCUAAGGUAGCAUAAUCAUUAGUCUUUUAAUUGGAGGCUGGAAUGAAUGGUCGGACAAGAGAUAAGCUGUCUUAAGUAAAAAUAUUGAAUUUAACUUUUAAGUGAAAAGGCUUAAAUCCUCUAGGGGGACGAUAAGACCCUAUAAAACUUUAUAUUUUGAAAUAAUAAUUAAUUUUGUGUGGGAGAUUUAUUUUUAAGUAUUUUAUUGGGGUGAUAAGGAUAAAAUAAUAAAUAACUGUCUUUUUUUAUUACAGUAAUAUUUGAGCAAAUGAACCUAGUAAGGGAAAGAAGAUUAAGUUACUUUAGGGAUAACAGCGUAAUUUUUUUUAAGAGUUCUUAUCGACAAGAAAGUUUGCGACCUCGAUGUUGAAUUAAAAAUUCUUUAUAGAGCAGAAACUAUAAAAGAAGGUCUGUUCGACCUUUAAAAUUUUACAUGAUUUGAGUUCAGACCGGUGUAAACCAGGUUGGUUUCUAUCUCCUAGUAGAUGAUUAAUUAUUUUAGUACGAAAGGAUUGAGUAA